rnacentral:lncRNA from 1 species
AUGUAACUAACCUGCACAAUGUGCACAUGUACCCUAAAACUUAAAGUAUAAUUAAAAAAAAAAGUCGUUUCAUAGAAAAUUAAUAUUGCCUAUCCUGGGUCUCAGGAUGGUCAAUAAAGGAGUGGGCAUUGGAACUUGAAGAAUAGCCACAGGAACGGCAGGAACAGUAACUGACUGAUAAAUUGUGGGACCUGUUCUUUAGGGACCAGCCAUAUACAGCAGUUUUGAAUGUUUAAAGAAUAAGAAUUAUAUGAGGACAGGAAGGCACAUUCUCUCUCUUUCCCUCUUUCUCUCUGUCUCCUUGUUUCUAUCUGUCCAGGGUCUUCAUGGCUAUCUCUUUAGAUCUGUGAUCUGCAGGUGCCUGCAUCCCCUUUCCCCUACAUGGAAAGCCCUCUGGGCCAGGCCUGGUGAGGCAAGACCAAAGCUGAUCAGAGGCUCUGCCAGGUGUCAGAGAAACUGAUUAAAAACAGUAAACCAACAUGAAAGUAAUGGUCAAGCCUUUAACCACUCACUGAGAUGGUACAACCAAUGUCUAAAAUUGGAGAAAGCACUAGCUCUCAGCAUUCCUUUUUCACCAUGAAAUGAUGUGCUUGUUGAGGGCAAGGCCAUCUCACUGCUGAAGGACCCCUGAACAAAAAGCUUCUGCAGUUAUAUGGACUCAGGUGUUGUGGGGAGGGAAAGGGAAAGGUCUGGACAUAUAAAAGUAUUCUGUACUGAUCUGAAGUAGUGAAAAGUGUCUUCAAGGUUGUCCCUCCCUUCCCUUGAUAAAAAAACUCCAGCCGAGAUGCCUGAAGAAGGCCUAGGCUGAAGGCCCCAAAUAAAGAGGACUCCAAAUGAAUGGUUUGAAUGUGUCCCCCACUGUUAAUGUGUUGGAAACUUAAUCCCCAGUGCAACAGUAUUGGAAAAUGAGGCCUAUUAAGGGGCGAUAAGGUCAUGAGGGCUCUGCCCUAAUCAAUGACUUAAUGUCACUAUUGUAGGAGUGGGUUAGAUAUCUCAAGAGUAGGCUUGUUAUAAAAGCAAGUUCGGCCCCUUCUUACUCUCUGGCUCUCUUGCCUUUCUCUCUUCUGCCAUGGGAUGACGCAGCAAGAAGGCCCUUGCCAAAUGCCAGCUUCUUGAUAUUAGACUCCCCAGCCUCUAGAACUGUGAGAAACAAGUUUAUUUUCCUUAUAAAUUACCCAGUGUUUGGCAUUUUGUUAUAGCAACACAAAAUGGAUGAAGAGAGGUGCUUGGCUUAGAAAUACAAAUACGAGUGAGAGCAGAAGGACCUGAGUCCUUGACUGCAACUCCCUUGAAAGACUGCAAUUCACUGGCUGUGGCCAAAUUUAAUGGAGAAGGCAGCUUUUCCCCAGGAGGUCUCCCAGAAGCUACCAUGCUGGGGGCCAGUGGCUCACACCUGUAAUCCUAUCACUUUGGGAGGCGAAUCUUUUGAGCCCAGGAGUUCAAGAGCAACCUGGACAACAUACAGAGACCCCAUCUCUACAAAAAAAUACAAAAAUUAGCCAGAUGAGCUGGCGUGUGUGUGUAGCUACUUUGGAGGUUGAAGUGGGAGGAUUGCUUGAGCCUGGGAGGCCAAGGCUGCAGUGAGCUGUGAUUGCACCACUCCACUCCAGCCUCUACAGUCUAGGCAACAGAGACCCUGUCUCAAAACGAAACAAAACAAGCAAAAAAGAAACUGUCAAAUGGGGUUUCAAAGUUGUACUAUUUUACAUUCACACCAGCAGUGAACUAAAGAACUAAACGUUCCACAUCCUCGUUCAUAUUUGGUAAGGUGUAUCCAUUUCGAGUUAAUUUUUGUACAUUGAUGAAGGAGGACCGGGCAGCCUUUUCUGGAGAGCAACCUCAGCCAAGGAGCGGAUGCCAUAAUUGCUUUCCCUUUUACCUCACCACUGGGACAGCUCUGAACACUUUAUAGAGUUUGCUCCCUCAAGCUUGCAUUCCUUACUUCUCAUAGAAGCAAAAUACUGCAUUUCUUUUGAUCUCAUAGAAAUGAAAAGGACUCUCUACGCCAUGGCUUUUGGUCUUGGUUUCUGUUUCUUUGAAUUUGGCUCCUUGGUGGGGUCCUGGGGAUACUUGCACUUCACUAUUGUUCAAGCUUUCAACUGAACUUAGAGGUGAAUUUAAAUCAAUCCCCUAACAACAAAGAGAUGUGUGUCAGGAGGGGUAGUGGUGACUCAGGGACAGAUAAAUGUAACUUCUCUAAGGUGUAAAGCCAUAUACCCUCAUUCCCUAGAGGGGAACAUAUAAAAAGCCACUAGUAGAAUGUCUUCUUCUAUCAAUUUCACCUGUUGAUCUAAUUGUAGGUAGAGAUCCAUAAGGAACUCAUUGAGGGUUAGGGAGAGAUUCGCUACUCAGAUACUGAUUAGGCAAGAAAUGUAACACCAAGUGAAGAAAUGGAGUCCAAGAAUUUUCCUAAUCCUGAAAAAAGUAGGGAGUGUGGAGAGAGGAGUUGAUUAUAUAAAACAGAAGGGCAGAUACAUUGCAAAAAAUGUUAAAUUUUACUGCCAUAUAUGUGACAUUCAAAUUAUUUAUAGCAGGGAGACCUUUAUUUCAAAACUAGCUGUCUGAUCUUGAGCAAAUUACUUAACCUGGCCAACAUAUGCUUCUCUAAUAUGAUCAAUUAGGAAUUAUCUGUACUGAACAGUGUUAUUUUGUGGAUUAAAUGGAAAUGUAAAAACUGGUUGACAUAGUAUCUGAAGCAUAAUGGACUCAGAGAAUAUUAGUUCUCUUCCUUUCCAUGAACUCAACUGUUAAAACACACAAGUGUAUAUAACAGUUCUAUCACUUUAUUUAUUUAUUUAUUUUUCAGAUGGAGUCUCACUCUGUUGCCUAGGUUGGAGUGCAGUGGCUCAAUCUUGGCUCACUGUAACAUCCACCUCCCGGGUUCAAGCAAUUCUCCUGCUUCAGCUCCCCCAAGUAGCUGGGACUACAGGCGCCUGCCACCACACCUGGCUAAUUUUUUUUUUUGUAUUUUUAGUAGAGAUGGGGUUUCACUGUGUUGGCCAGGCUGAGUCUCAAGCACCUGACCUCGUGAUCCGUCUGCCUUGGCUUCCCAAAGUGCUGGGAUUACAGGCAUGAGCCACCACACCUGGCCCUAUCACUUACUUUUGAAGUACCUAUUAAAUCCUAGGUGCUUCACAGAUUUUGCCUACAUUUCAUCAUUUAAUUUACUGUAUAAAUUAAUUCAUCUUUGUCUUAUUCUGUCAGGUUAAUGUUAUCAUUCUCUUUUUACAGAUUUAUUGAGACACAGAGAAAGCCAAGUAACUUGCUCAUAAUUUCACAGCUAGUAAAAGGUAGAAUCAAGAAUUGGAGCCAUAUACUUUGAUACAAAAGUAUUAUCACACUCUUUUCUUUUCCUAAGCCUGCUGACCAAGCUUGCACAGUUCCCUCUGGGGAAAAGAUCUAUCGACCUACUUUAGAUUUUAUCAAAGUGAAAGAGUAUUUUUUAUUCAUUCAAUGAUCAAGAUUGAUUUAUUUUUCUGAAUUACUUCAAGAAACCUUGAGAUAUCUGAUAAUCUAGAAAACAUCUGGUCAUUUCUUCUUUCAUAAGUCCUUGCAUUUCUGUUGGAGUGGAAUUACUGGAUUAUGAGGUAUGAACAUGCUCAGUUUUAGCAGAUACUGCCAGUUUUCCAAAGUGGUUAUAUGCUUCACACUUCCACCAGCAAUGAGUUCCAGUUGUUCCACAUCCUCAUCAGCAAUGUUAUUGUAAUGAAUAUACUCUCCAGUAGAAACGUUAUUGUUUUGCCUUUCACAAAGAUCUACAAUCCACCUGAAAUACAUAUUUGCAUGUACUCUGACGUAGAGAAUGUUUCAUUUUGUCCACGUGUAUCCAAUUGUCCCAGCAGUACUUAUUAAAAAGAUUAUCGUUUUUCCAUGGUUGUAUAGUGCCACCUUUGUCUUAACUCUAUAGUCCACAUAUGUAGACUCUACUUUUUUUCCCUUGGUUAUCUUUGAUUCCUUGAGAAAAUAUCAU